AAAGCAACGUGUUCUGUCGCUUCCGGUUGAAAAACAGGAAGAGGAAAGUCGGGGCAAUACAGGGCGCCAUACUUCCUAACGGGAAGGUUCCGCUGCCGGCGGAAACAGCAAGUGCCACAGAAAAUAACCGUCCCGCCACGGCGGGAUAAGGGUGAAAAUGUGGGGUAAGAGCCCACGGGCAUGGCUGGCAACAGUCAGGUCGGGUAAACCUUAUGGAUUGAAAGGCCAAAUAUACCGGAACGUACCGCUUAACCGCGGUACAAGGGGCUGCCCGCUCUUCCGGGGGGUAGGUCGUUUGAGCCUUGCAGUGAUGCAUGGCCUAGAUAAAUGACAGAAAUCCUGUAUUUGCAGGAUACAGAACCCCGCUUACAACGUUGUACGGCAC
rnacentral:RNase_P_RNA from 1 species